AACGAACGCUGGCGGCAGGCUUAACACAUGCAAGUCGAACGCAUCCUUCGGGGUGAGUGGCAGACGGGUGAGUAACGCGUGGGAACGUGCCCUUCAGUUUGGGAUAACCCAGGGAAACUUGGGCUAAUACCGGAUACGCCCUUUUGGGGAAAGAUUUAUCGCUGAAGGAUCGGCCCGCGUCUGAUUAGCUAGUUGGUGAGGUAAUGGCUCACCAAGGCGACGAUCAGUAGCUGGUCUGAGAGGAUGAUCAGCCACACUGGGACUGAGACACGGCCCAGACUCCUACGGGAGGCAGCAGUGGGGAAUAUUGGACAAUGGGCGCAAGCCUGAUCCAGCCAUGCCGCGUGAGUGAUGAAGGCCUUAGGGUUGUAAAGCUCUUUCGGCGGGGACGAUAAUGACGGUACCCGCAGAAGAAGCCCCGGCUAACUUCGUGCCAGCAGCCGCGGUAACAC
rnacentral:rRNA from 1 species